rnacentral:rRNA from 1 species
UGAACGCUAGCUACAGGCUUAACACAUGCAAGUCGAGGGGCAUCAGGAAGAAAGCUUGCUUUCUUUGCUGGCGACCGGCGCACGGGUGAGUAACACGUAUCCAACCUGCCCUUUACUCGGGGAUAGCCUUUCGAAAGAAAGAUUAAUACCCGAUGGCAUAAUGAUUCCGCAUGGUUUCAUUAUUAAAGGAUUCCGGUAAAGGAUGGGGAUGCGUUCCAUUAGGUUGUUGGUGAGGUAACGGCUCACCAAGCCUUCGAUGGAUAGGGGUUCUGAGAGGAAGGUCCCCACAUUGGAACUGAGACACGGUCCAAACUCCUACGGGAGGCAGCAGUGAGGAAUAUUGGUCAAUGGGCGCUAGCCUGAACCAGCCAAGUAGCGUGAAGGAUGAAGGCUCUAUGGGUCGUAAACUUCUUUUAUAUAAGAAUAAAGUGCAGUAUGUAUACUGUUUUGUAUGUAUUAUAUGAAUAAGGAUCGGCUAACUCCGUGCCAGCAGCCGCGGUAAUACGGAGGAUCCGAGCGUUAUCCGGAUUUAUUGGGUUUAAAGGGAGCGUAGGUGGACUGGUAAGUCAGUUGUGAAAGUUUGCGGCUCAACCGUAAAAUUGCAGUUGAUACUGUCAGUCUUGAGUACAGUAGAGGUGGGCGGAAUUCGUGGUGUAGCGGUGAAAUGCUUAGAUAUCACGAAGAACUCCGAUUGCGAAGGCAGCUCACUGGACUGCAACUGACACUGAUGCUCGAAAGUGUGGGUAUCAAACAGGAUUAGAUACCCUGGUAGUCCACACAGUAAACGAUGAAUACUCGCUGUUUGCGAUAUACAGUAAGCGGCCAAGCGAAAGCAUUAAGUAUUCCACCUGGGGAGUACGCCGGCAACGGUGAAACUCAAAGGAAUUGACGGGGGCCCGCACAAGCGGAGGAACAUGUGGUUUAAUUCGAUGAUACGCGAGGAACCUUACCCGGGCUUAAAUUGCAGUGGAAUGAUGUGGAAACAUGUCAGUGAGCAAUCACCGCUGUGAAGGUGCUGCAUGGUUGUCGUCAGCUCGUGCCGUGAGGUGUCGGCUUAAGUGCCAUAACGAGCGCAACCCUUAUCUUUAGUUACUAACAGGUCAUGCUGAGGACUCUAGAGAGACUGCCGUCGUAAGAUGUGAGGAAGGUGGGGAUGACGUCAAAUCAGCACGGCCCUUACGUCCGGGGCUACACACGUGUUACAAUGGGGGGUACAGAAGGCAGCUAGCGGGUGACCGUAUGCUAAUCCCAAAAGCCUCUCUCAGUUCGGAUCGAAGUCUGCAACCCGACUUCGUGAAGCUGGAUUCGCUAGUAAUCGCGCAUCAGCCACGGCGCGGUGAAUACGUUCCCGGGCCUUGUACACACCGCCCGUCAAGCCAUGGGAGCCGGGGGUACCUGAAGUACGUAACCGCAAGGAUCGUCCUAGGGUAAAACUGGUGACUGGGGCUAA